rnacentral:tRNA from 1 species
GCAUUGGUGGGUCAGUUGUAUAAUUCUCAUCUUCCAUGUGGGAGACCAGGGUUCAAUUCCUGGCCAGUGCA